AGUAGGGUCAGCUAAACAAGCUAUCGGGCCAUACCCCGAAAUGAUGGUUUAACCCCUUCGCCUGCUA
rnacentral:tRNA from 1 species